rnacentral:lncRNA from 1 species
AAACAACCACAUGGGACAUAUUUUUGGCUUUGGCCCACCCCAACCCCCCCCCCCCCUCUCUCUCUCUGCCUUACUUCCCUUGGUAUGGCUGGAGCCUGGAGCCCAGUUUGGGAAAUUAUAAAAGAUACUGUCAGUGGGAAAGCAAUUGCUAAGUAAUGCCAAAUUUAAAAUUAGGAUACAAAACUGUAGCUCCCAAAUGAUCUCAGGUAUAUCCAAAUAUAUGUUAACUGUACAGUUAUAUAAAAUUAGAAACCUUAAUAAUAGUUCUCUCUAGGUGGUGAUACUUGGGUGAUUUUUCCUCAUACUUUUCUGCAUGUGUAAUUCCCCAACCAUAAAUAUUGCUCUCAUAAUUAGGUAAAUAUCAUUGUUUUUCUUCUCUCUCUCUCUUAAUCAGCGUCACAGAGGAAGAUGCUGUUACAACAGCUGGUGCUGUUCGCCGUCUUUAGAAGGAGCAAACCUUCCAAGAGCUGUUUUUCUUUACAUCAAGAAGUGCAUUUCUCACUGGUGGGCAAGAGAGCCCCGCGAAGGGAAACAGCCCUGCUUUGGGAAGAGGAGUACUCACCCCACCGUGAAGAAUGGCAGGGUAUCUCAGGUAGGAGGUCUUUGGAGAAGAUGAGACCAAGCUGAAGGCCCCAGGGACUCCGGGCUGCCUGGCUUCCCGCGCCACCUCGUGCCCCCUUUCCCCCAUCACUGACUGGGCUCUGGCCUGGGUGGCCUCUCCUCAUUCCUCCAACCCACACCAGCCUCUCUGGGUCACUGAUUUGAAGUCCCUGCUCUUCCGAGAGCCCUGCCCUGAGGAGUCCACCUAAAUUGCUACGGGCACGCCCCCCCCCGCCCACAGCCACUCUCCAGCCUUUCCCCGGGCUUGAGUUGUCUUCAUACCGCCUGUCUUCCUCUGAAGUUUUAUAAAAACGCGCCCUAUUUCGCUUGUUGCUUAUCUCCGCUCUGGCAGGAGGGAAGCUCACGGAAAGAAGGAAACCCAUCCUGUUGACCGGUGGUUAGUCUUCACGUGGAUCGCUGCCGGGUAUAGUUGGCUUGCGGUAAACAGUUGGGCCAUCAGUGGACGAACAGACAGGUCAUCGCCCUCCCCCGCGCCGUGAAGGUGAUUUUGUGGCAGCUGGACUGUGCCUCACUCAGGUGCCGUAACUCCCGAGUCCAGUGUCACUGCCUUUCCCUUUGGUCGCCCUCGUCCGCCUCCAUGAUCACUGCCCAGCAGCACUGCCUCCCACUCACGUCACUUGCUGUCACUUUGUCUAGGUCAUUUCCUUCAACCUUUCCUCUGGGGAGUCCCCUUAGAGCCUCAGCCUUUUUCUGGGCAUCUCCACUGUGCUCUUUUAAUUAAAAAAAAAAAAUGUUUUUGGCUAGCUUUAUUAAGGUGGAAAUGGCAAACCGAAGUUGUAUAAGUUUAGGUUGUACAGUGUGAUUUUUUUGAAGGUGUACAAUGUGAUGACUUCAUAUAUGUAUACAUUUUUCAGUGGCGAGAACACUUAAGAUCUACUCUCGGCAGAUUUCAAGCAUACAAUAUAGUUUUAUUUACUGUAGUCACCCUGCUGUACCUUAGGACCCCCCAAUAUAUUCUUCUUAUAACUGAGUUUGUUCUCUUUAGCCAACAUUUCCCCGUAUCUCC